AACUUUUAACAAUGGAUCACUUGGUUCUGGCAUCGAUGAAGAACGCAGCAAAAUGCGAUAAGUAGUGUGAAUUGCAGAAUUCAGUGAAUCAUCGAAUCUUUGAACGCACAUUGCGCCCUUUGGUAUUCCUUAGGGCAUGCCUGUUCGAGCGUCAUUUACACCCUCAAGCACAGCUUGGUGUUGGGCGUCUGUCCCGCUUCGGCGCGGACUCGCCUCAAAACGAUUGGCAGCCACUUCAGCGGCUUUGAGCGCAGCAGAAUUGCGUCUCUCGUCGCGGCGGAUGGCACCCAUCAAGCUACAUUUAUAUCUUGACCUCGGAUCAGGUAGGGAUACCCGCUGAACUUAAGCAUAUCAAUAAGCGGAGGCU
rnacentral:misc_RNA from 1 species